rnacentral:rRNA from 1 species
AUUGAACGCUGGCGGCAGGCCUAACACAUGCAAGUCGAGCGGAUGAAGGGAGCUUGCUCCUGGAUUCAGCGGCGGACGGGUGAGUAAUGCCUAGGAAUCUGCCUGGUAGUGGGGGAUAACGUCCGGAAACGGGCGCUAAUACCGCAUACGUCCUGAGGGAGAAAGUGGGGGAUCUUCGGACCUCACGCUAUCAGAUGAGCCUAGGUCGGAUUAACUAGUUGGUGGGGUAAAGGCCUACCAAGGCGACGAUCCGUAACUGGUCUGAGAGGAUGAUCAGUCACACUGGAACUGAGACACGGUCCAGACUCCUACGGGAGGCAGCAGUGGGGAAUAUUGGACAAUGGGCGAAAGCCUGAUCCAGCCAUGCCGCGUGUGUGAAGAAGGUCUUCGGAUUGUAAAGCACUUUAAGUUGGGAGGAAGGGUAGUAAGUUAAUACCUUGCUGUUUUGACGUUACCAACAGAAUAAGCACCGGCUAACUUCGUG